UACGUAGGGUGCAAGCGUUAAUCGGAAUUACUGGGCGUAAAGCGUGCGCAGGCGGCUUUGCAAGUCAGAUGUGAAAUCCCCGGGCUUAACCUGGGAACUGCAUUUGUGACUGCAUGGCUUGAGUGCGGCAGAGGGGGAUGGAAUUCCGCGUGUAGCAGUGAAAUGCGUAGAUAUGCGGAGGAACACCGAUGGCGAAGGCAAUCCCCUGGGCCUGCACUGACGUUCAUGCACGAAAGCGUGGGGAGCAAACAGG
rnacentral:rRNA from 1 species